rnacentral:lncRNA from 1 species
UGUCACAGCUCACUGUGAACUGACACACUGCAACAAGGAUAAGCACAAACAGGAAAACCAAACAGUUCAUAUCUGCAAACUUUUUUUUGUUCCAAAAAGCCUCCUUGGUGUUCCCAACCUCAGAUAAUUUCCUGCUUAGAAGAGAAGUUGGAUGGAGGGUCCUUCUUUACAAGGAGCUACGUGGAGAAGACAAGGAGCAGUGGGUACCAGUUGCACUGAGAGAGGUUUCUCCUAAAUCCAAUAUUGAUAGUGAUUUUUUUUUUUUUUUUUUUUUUUACAGUGAGAACUAUCAGACUUCCUCCAGAUGUGGCAGAGUCCCCAUGACUGUAGUUUUUUGAGGUGUGAUUGGACAGGGUGCUUGACAAUCACAUCUAGGUUUCCUAUUCCCACAAAAAGUUGGGCCUGGCAAUCUUUUGUGAUCCAUUGCAACCUGAAUUGUACCACUAUUCUGUGAGGUUAUCCUUUUUAGUGCCUAAGUAGCUUUUUAAUUGCAGGGCAGAGGUUCUAUUUGUGUAGGGAGGGAUGGCUGAAGCCUGGCGUACACACUGUCCUCAUAACUUGGAGGUGUGACAGACUACCAAAAGCAAUUGGUCAGAGGUAGCAAUGUGUUAAUUUGUUGUUGCAUAAUUCAUCAAAAUUUGUUUAUCUGAAGUCUUAUUUUAUGUUGUUGUACAGCCUAUUGAUGUUCUUCCAGGUCCAAGCAGUUAAUUUUACAGGGUGGCUUUAUCUAUGGUGCCAGCCUGCCACGCACAUUGUCUUUGUGGGUGAGAACAGUGGCUGGUUGAUGUUCCCAAGGAGACUGGUGAAAAGUGAGGUCUCCAACAGAAAUGGACAAGACAUCACUUAUUUGCAACCAUGGUGAAACCCUGGCAAAAUAUACUCAAAGGCUAUGACUGUGCUGGACUCUUCCUACACUUACUUUAGGGAAUUACACAGGAUCUGAAUCCCUGAACAAUCCCCACAUGCUGUAAGGGAUCAGGUCAACAUUCAUAGACCUUCAGCAGCAUCAUUUUAAUAUUCAAGC